GUUACAAGGUUGUUCUAACAAGUCUGAUACAGUCAUGAUAUAGCAAGAAUGUUACAAGGUUGACGACACAAGGUUGUAACAAUAUUGUUACAUCAUGACUGUAUCGGACUUGUUGGAACAACCUUGCAAC
rnacentral:miRNA from 1 species